rnacentral:SRP_RNA from 1 species
AAGCGGGUCUUGCGUGACUUUGCCUUGUGAACCAUGUCAGGCAGGAAACUGAGCAGCAUUAAGCAAACGGCGAGGUGCACAGCAAGGAACCCGCUUCUU